AGUGAACGCUGGCGGUAGGCCUAACACAUGCAAGUCGAACGGCAGCACAGUAAGAGCUUGCUCUUACGGGUGGCGAGUGGCGGACGGGUGAGGAAUACAUCGGAAUCUACUUUUUCGUGGGGGAUAACGUAGGGAAACUUACGCUAAUACCGCAUACGACCUACGGGUGAAAGCAGGGGAUCUUCGGACCUUGCGCGAUUGAAUGAGCCGAUGUCGAAUUAGCUAGUUGGCGGGGUAAAGGCCCACCAAGGCGACGAUCCGUAGCUGGUCUGAGAGGAGGAUCAGCCACACUGGAACUGAGACACGGUCCAGACUCCUACGGGAGGCAGCAGUGGGGAAUAUUGGACAAUGGGCGCAAGCCUGAUCCAGCCAUACCGCGUGAGUGAAGAAGGCCUUCGGGUUGUAAAGCCCUUUUGUUGGGAAAGAAAAGCAGCAGGUUAAUACCCCGCUGUUCUGACGGUACCCAAAGAAUAAGCACCGGCUAACUUCGUG
rnacentral:rRNA from 1 species